AACAAGGCGUACCUGCGGACCUGCGGAAGGAUCAUUACCGAACAACCUGUACCCUCUUGUAGCGGACCAUUGCCACCGGCGCUCGUUGUCUCAACAAGAAGAGGUGAAUGCGGCCUCUUGGCCCUUUGGUCUGCUACGCUUAACAAUCAAACACGUUCGUUGCAUGGCGGAGGGUGGUGGGGCCAUCAUCCCUUUGUUGGGUUUUUUGCCCUUUCCCCUCAAGUAUGGAAAUAUCAAUAC
rnacentral:misc_RNA from 1 species